GGGGCCGGGGCUUCAAGGGGGCAGCCAUUUUUUUUAAACGGAGCAGCCAUCGGAGGAGGAGCCAUCGGAGGAGCAAUUUUUACAGUAAAUACGGCAGCAGAGUGUGGAAAGCGCGGGAGGGGGAAGAAAUGCAAUGCAAUGAAUGGCAUGAAGCCAGGAAGCAUUACAACCCAUUGAUCCCUUCCUCAUUCAGGCCCAGGGCCAAGAAAGUUGUUGCAUUGCCAUCAGCCUAAAUGGAUGAGAAAGGUUUGCUGGAGGACUGCUAAGUGAAGCUGCUGUAUUUUUUUUAGGCUACUUUCCUUAAGAAAAGCCUAUCAUAGAACCUAAUUUUCCAUAAUCCCAGGAGAUGGUGCUGUUAUUUGCUUGUGAAGAAGUAAUUUCAUUGUUUUACCUAAAAUGGAAUACCAAGAUAUCUCCCCCCCACUCUCUCUCUCUAAAGAAAAGCUGCAGUUCUACGUGGUAUGAUUACUCUUUUUUUAAAGGCAGAAAGCCAAAUCUUCUUUUUUUCUCAUGCCAAAAAGCUGAGCUUGGCAGAAGAAAAUUAUGCAGAGAGAGUAGAAAAUCAAAUAAUGAAGAUGACAAGUGAAAGGAAGAGAGGAAGAACAGGAAGAAGAAGGAAAAUUAGUUCUUGUGUAGGUUUACAGAUGCUACAAGUAGAACCUAUAGACUGCCCACAGUAGGUCCUUCUGAGUCUGUCCCAUGUCCAAUAAAGAAACACAUUUGAAGACUCUCAUAUGCUAAAACCAAAACAUUUCCCUGCACAUAGAGUUAAUCAAAGAGAGAGCUAGACUAGAAACCAUCU